rnacentral:tRNA from 1 species
GCCGGGGUGCCCGAGCGGCCUAAGGGGCUGGCCUUGAGAGCCAGUGGGGAUAUCACUCCCCGCGCGGGUUCAAAUCCCGCCCCCGGCGCCA